UACAGAGGUCUCAAGCGUUGUUCGGAUUCAUUGGGCGUAAAGGGUGUGUAGGUGGCGCCGUAAGUCGGGUGUGAAAUCUCGGGGCUUAACUCCGAAACUGCAUUCGAUACUGCGGUGCUUGAGGGCUGGAGAGGAGACUGGAAUUCAUGGUGUAGCAGUGAAAUGCGUAGAGAUCAUGAGGAAGACCAGUGGCGAAGGCGGGUCUCUGGACAGUUCCUGACACUGAGACACGAGGCCAGGGGAGCAAACGGG
rnacentral:rRNA from 1 species